rnacentral:RNase_P_RNA from 1 species
GUGAGUGGGUGGGUGGCUUCCCAGCCUUUUAAGGCUGGAGGAAACUCCGCUCACAUGGUGGACCCGUAACACCGUAAGGUGUAGGGUGAGAACCCUAACCCAACACAGAAACGGAACGUCCAGCAGAAAAAUGAUGAUGGGGUGUUUAACCCACCGAAGAUUCUGCUGGAAACGUUGAAACGGUUGGGUACGGGGUGCAAGGACAAAUAGGCAUCGAUGAAGCUCCACCCUGAGAUGCGGGUAGUCCGCUUAGCCGUAUGCCACCUAAAACAGAAAGCGGGUUACAACCCACACAC